UUCAGGUCAUAACAACAUCAUGGAUUACCUGCUUCCUCUGAGUCUUUCGAUUUUUCCAAACCUACAAGAAAAAGUUUCCUCUGCAGAUCAUUCACUUGAGGUUGAAAAACAAAACAUGGAUCUCAUCCUUUAUCUACUAGCAGUUUUAGAAAAUCCGACAUCUUGAUGCCAGAGACCUACAGAGCAGGCAAUCCACUCAGAGACAUCAGAGGAAGAGUGAACCAGCCAGGAAGUCACACUCACAAGUCCAUGGG